CCGGGAAACUCACCAGAUAAGACAGCUGAAUGAUAGUCGGGCUGAAGACUCACUUGACUAGCUGAGAGGAGGUGCAUGGCCGUCGUCAGUUCGUACUGUGAAGCAUCCUGUUAAGUCAGGCAACGAGCGAGACCCACGCCAACAGUUGCCAGCUCGUCCUCCGGGAUGGUGGGGACACUGUUGGGACCGCCUCUGCUAAAGAGGAGGAAGGAAUGGGCAACGGUAGGUCAGCAUGCCCCGAAUUAUCUGGGCUACACGCGGGCUACAAUGGGUGGGACAAUGGGUAUCGACACCGAAAGGUGAAGGCAAUCUCCUAAACCCAUCCGUAGUUCGGAUUGUGGGCUGCAACUCGCCCACAUGAAGCUGGAAUCUGUAGUAAUCGUGUCUCAAAAUGGCACGGUGAGUAUGUCCCUGCUCCUU
rnacentral:rRNA from 1 species